UUGUACACACCGCCCGUCACACCAUGAGAGUUUGUAACACCCGAAGCCGGUGGCGUAACCCUUUUAGGGAGCGAGCCGUCUAAGGUGGGACAAAUGAUUAGGGUGAAGUCGUAACAAGGUAGCCGUAGGAGAACCUGCGGCUGGAUCACCUCCUUU
rnacentral:rRNA from 1 species